rnacentral:rRNA from 1 species
GUCGAGCGGUAGAGAGAAGCUUGCUUCUCUUGAGAGCGGCGGACGGGUGAGUAAUGCCUAGGAAUCUGCCUGGUAGUGGGGGAUAACGUUCGGAAACGGACGCUAAUACCGCAUACGUCCUACGGGAGAAAGCAGGGGACCUUCGGGCCUUGCGCUAUCAGAUGAGCCUAGGUCGGAUUAGCUAGUUGGUGGGGUAAUGGCUCACCAAGGCGACGAUCCGUAACUGGUCUGAGAGGAUGAUCAGUCACACUGGAACUGAGACACGGUCCAGACUCGUACGGGAGGCAGCAGUGGGGAAUAUUGGACAAUGGGCGAAAGCCUGAUCCAGCCAUGCCGCGUGUGUGAAGAAGGUCUUCGGAUUGUAAAGCACUUUAAGUUGGGAGGAAGGGUUGUAGAUUAAUACUCUGCAAUUUUGACGUUACCGACAGAAUAAGCACCGGCUAACUCUGUGCCAGCAGCCGCGGUAAUACAGAGGGUGCAAGCGUUAAUCGGGAAUUACUGGGCGUAAAGCGCGCGUAGGUGGUUUGUUAAGUUGGGAUGUGAAAUCCCCGGGGCUCAACCUGGGAACUGCAUUCAAAACUUGACUGACUAGAGUAUGGUAGAGGGGUGGCGGAAUUUCCUGUGUACCGGUGAA